rnacentral:lncRNA from 1 species
AGCUCCUGACCUGGGCUCUUGACCCCACGUCAGUUUCCAGCCUCCCUAGCUCAACCAGGACAGUGAAGACGAUGUCCGAAGUCGAAGCUUUUGCCCUGAGGGCUGAAGACUUGAAGUUUGUGGCCACCCAGUUCCGACGGCUACACAGCAAACAGCUCCAGCACACGUUUAAGUUCUACUCGCAGCAUUGGAGAACCUGGGCAGCCUGUUUCAUACAAGCAGCCUGGCAUAGGUACUGCAGAAAGAAGAUCGAAGACUCUCUACGCGAGAAGGAGAAGAGGUUGCAGUUCGCAAUCGUUAAUGACGGUGCUACAACUCUCAGCUUCAGGGCAGCGAUAUAUGCUUCGCGUUUCGCUGGCAACAUGAUGCGGAUCUUGAGGAGAAAUGCCACCCGCAAGGCUCGGUUGAAGGAAAGUGUGCCUGCAAGGUUGUUACAAAAACCAGCAGAACCCAACUUUGCUGCAGAAGAGCAGUAGUUCUGUUUACCACGAAUGCGUAAGGAAUUUUUUGUGCAUGGCUUGUGCAUUUUUUACUUGCUGAUGUUUUUGCUUUCAGUUGACACUAGACCUACAAAUUAAGGAGAGGAAAAAAUCGCAAUAGGUGUCUGUAUCUUUCUGUAAGAUCUGUAUAUGUGUUCGUGUAUGAUAAUAGGUGAUACGUGUAAUUAUUAUUCAUCAGGUGUUUAUAUACAAAUUGUGUUUAUAGUAGUGUAGUGAGCAUUCCAUCCCGUGUUCCCAUCAGGCUCUUGAAGUCCAGGCACGGAGCAAGAUCACAUUGUAACGGAGACACUUGUUUUAACUCACAUAUAUUGACAUGAUAUAGAAUUAAUGGAUUGUUAAAGAUUUGUCAACCACUCAUUUUAGACAAAAGAAAAAAAAAAGAAAGUGUCCCUGUUUUAUUCCGGCACAGUCUAGCGUGCACUGCUGGUUUCCUUGUGUGAAGUCAUAAAGCAAUGCAUGUUCUAGCCGCUGGAAGCCUGGUAUCCUUGUCUUGAUACCCCUUUGUACUUUAUUAAUCAGUUAUCAACGUGUACCAUGCGUUUUCCAUACGGUGGGUUUUAUCCAUAGUAGGUAGCUACUGUAGAACUUGUCACGCCUGUGUGACGGGUUACAGUGAGCGCAAGAGGUUGUCGAUGUGCUGGGCCUGCGAGCCCAUGAAAGUCUGGCCUGUGAGCCCAUCUAAGAGAGACUAUAAUGUGGGAAGGAGUAUUGUAAACGUUAUCGAAUAGCUGAAAUCAAGAAUACGUCUCUUCCUCAACUACUCUAUUUCUGUCUUCUUCUUCUACCUCUGUCUCGUGCUGUCUUCUUCCCCAAACUCUCUUCCUCAUUUCUCAAUCUGGAUCGAAUCUGGUAAAUCAGAGGCGAAGGCGGCGGCGACUUGUUACAGUGGUAUCAGAUUCAGGCUGUUCGUGGUUGCAUUGUUCUCAUAUUCUCUCGAUCCGGCUGGUAAAAUCCCUGUGUUCCGGUUGACGGCUACCCUUGGGUGAGGCCGUGUCGGAGGGUGAACUCCGCAAGUGGAGGGCAGUGAGGUCCCCCUUAUUGGUUUGGCCGGGAAAAGUGGGUGAGAUUCGAGGACUCGGUGAGAAAGGCGGUGUAGAGGGGGUCGGGCCCCUCAAGAAUGAUGAGACAAAAGGGGUUUAUACAGGUUUGGGCUGUUGAAAAGCGUAAUACCUUACUCCCGUGCUUAGCUGAUUGAGUGAGGAAUUACAAAAUCUCCUAGUUGGAGUAGAAGGUGUUGAUGGUGAGGGGCAGGAGACUCCUCUAGUGAAAAGGGCCCAUCUCCUUCCUAAGUAGGCCUGGAACUCCUUUUAUAUCUCAAGGGAUACCACAUGGGCCCACCUAGCCUAUUCAGGGAGGAUAACCACAUUAAAUGCAUGUCUUGUUACUUGCCUUGGAAGUCUCUUGCACGCCUUGCUGCAGCGUGGGGCUUGCCAAAUCUGUCCGGCUGACACGGGGGACACGCACGUCAUAAUGAGUGAAGACUUUCGGGUCCUCACCUGCGCCGGGAAACGGGAACCCUACCCUGACCGGGUUAGGCAAGUCGUCUCCGGUUGUGAUAAGAGGCUAAGCAGCCUCUCAUCAUCACGACGUGACAGGGGGUGUCAGGCGACACGCCGCCUGAUAUGCAACCAGUGCACAGGCGCACUACCCUAACCACAUCGGUCAUAGAUCGGUCACAGACCGGUCAUAGUCCGGUAGGCCCACCGCGCCACAUUUAAUGCGGCGUGGUGCGCUUGCUCAGACUGCCUUAAAUGCGGUUAGGUGGGUGCUGGGGACGCCCACCUAACCCAGCACACGUGGCACCGCGCGGAAGGGGUUAGGAUAGCCCGACCCCCAGGCAUGGAGGGGGUGGCCGCCGCCCUGCCUUAGGCCCGACCGCCCCUGGGGGGAGGGCCACGUGGCUACCGGGGGCAGCCUCCUCCCUAUGGUGCUAAUAUCCCCGGGCCCAUAUCACCGACAGGCUGAUGUAAGUCCAGUUCUGGUUCGGCUGGAUUUGGAGGAGACAAGCAUCACGGCGCCGAUCAAACUCAGUGCUCCGUUGCGCCAGUCCUUGGAGACCAGGGAGACGAAGAUUCUGGAGUGGCUGGAUGCGCUUACGUCGCAGCUGGAGACACUUGAUUCGCCUCUGUAGAAGCAGGGUGGUCGCCUGGAUCAGGUGGUCACUAAGGUUGAUCUCGCGAUGGAUUUGGUCGGGAAGUUGCGGCAGGAGCAGCUGCAAGCGGUGUGCCUUCAGAAACACCUGUCUUCGCUGUCAUCAUCCUUGGGCUCAGGCGAUCUUGUGAGUAUUCUUGGUUCUUCUUCUGGGGUCUCGCGUUCGGGCGCUGGUGCACCACCAACACCACCACUACCGCCACCACCACCACCUCCUCGAUUUGGUUCCCACGCACACUAUUGGGUUGACGGCGAGGGCCAUCGAGCUCAGGAUGGGGGGCGGGCUAAGUCGUAUUUGCCGAAAAUGGAUUUUCUGCGUUUUGAGGGGCCGGAUGUGCAUAUUUGGAUUGAUAUGUGUGAGACUUAUUUUAAGAUGUACCAAAUUUCUGCUACUUUUUGGGUGUCUGCUACUAUUUUGCAUAUGUAUGGCAAUGCAGCGCAGUGGUAUCAGUCUGUUAAACUGGUGGAGGAUGUCAGUGAUUGGGCUCAUUUCCGUUAUGUAGUCAUUCAUGAGUUUGAGGGCAACACGCACCGAGAGAAAACUUUAGCUCUGCGGUUGUUGACUCAAACUGGUACAGUGGCUGAAUAUAAGCAACAAAUUGAUUCACUUGUUUAUCAGGUCAGACUGUUUGAUCCUUCAGUGGGAGGCAUGAUGUUAGUAUCUCGUUUCGUUUUGGGGCUUAAGCAGGAAGUUCGCAAUGCGGUUUUGCUUCAGCUGUCACAAACUAUUCAACAAGCUACUGCGGUGGCUUUGACUCAGGAAGGGCUGCUACUGGAUUCUUCCCCUUCUAUGAAGCGCUUGCCUGCUAAGAAAUUUGUGCCAAAAGUGGAACGGCUAGUUGGGACUGAGACUUUGGGGCUGAAGCCUGAACAAGCUGAACCGUGGAAGGCUUGGCAAUUGAGUGAUUUUCGCAAGGAUAAUGGGUUAUGUUUUUUUUAAGUGUGGUGAAAAGUACUCAUCUGAGCACAAGUGUGCUGUGCUGGGCCAAAUCAAAGCAAUGCAGAUUACUGAAAUCAUUCAAGAUGCUUUGCUGAAUGCAGUGAUUGCUGAGGAAGAAUCUGAUCAAGUGGAUGAAUGUCAUGUUUUGCUGAAUGCACUGUCAGGUGCUCAUCAUCCUCGAGCCAUUUCGAUUGAGAGCUUUGGCGCAUAGCAAAGUGUUGUUAAUGUUGGUUGAUUCUGGUAGUUAUCAUAGCUUUUUGGAUCUGCACUUUGCUCAGCAGUUGGGAUUACCUUUGUAAUCUGUAUCUCCUUCUAUGGUCAGAGUAGCUAAUGGGGAUUUUCUCACUUGUCAAUAUAUUGUACCUAACUUUACUUGGUGGAUUCAAGGACACACUUUUGUUUUUGAUAUGAGAGUGGUUGAAUUGGGUGGUCAUGAUGCUAUUUUGGGCAUGACUUGGUGAUAUGACUUGUAAUUGGGCUUGGAAGACUUUGAAAUUUCAUUAUCAAGGUAGCUAGAUUUCAUUGCAGGGUGUGGUAGAUUCUGCAAUCACAACUGAACUCCAGUCAGUUUCUCUCCUUCAGAUUCUGAAGUGGCAGAAAGGUUGUGAUAUAUGGGCUGCUGCAAUGUUGCAGCACUCUUCUCCUAGUCUUGCACAUCCACUUCCCUCUUCUGUUAAUCAGUUACUCUUGGAAUUUCAUGACAUUUUUUAGGAACCAACUGUAUUGCCUCCACACAAAGUGUAUUACCAUUCCAUCUCCUUGUUGCCUGAUGCUGCACCGGUUAACAGCAAGCCUUACAGGUAUUCUCCUCUCUAGAAAGAUGAGAUUGAAAGACAAGUGAAAGAAAUGAUUGAUUCUGGCUUGGUGACACCGAGCAUGAGCCCUUUUGCUUCACCUGUGUUGUUGGUUAAGAAGAAAGAUGGGACUUGGUGCUUUUGUGUUGAUUACCGCAAACUGAAUGCUAUUACCAUUAAGAGCAAGUUCCCUAUGCCCAUUGUGGAUGAGUUGUUGGAUAAACUUGCUGGUACACAAUAAUUUUUCUAAGUUGAACCUUAAGGCUGGAUCAUCAUAUCAGAAUGGUGGAAGUGGAUGAGCCUAAAAUUGCCUUUAAGACACAUCACGACCAGUUUCAGUUUCGUGUUAUGCCUUUUGGUCUUACUAAUGCUCCAUCAACUUUUCAGUGCUUAAUGAACUCAGUUUUUACCCCUUUCAUUAGGAAGUUUGUUCUUGUUUUCAUGGACGACAUCUUAGUCUAUAGCCCAGAUUUGUAGACUCAUUUAGCUCAUUUGCAGCAAGUCUUCUUGGUGCUGAGGCAACACAAAUUGUAUGCUAAACAAUCUAAAUGCUCCUUUGCUUGCUCUCAGCUGGAAUAUUUGGGCCAUAUCAUUUCUGUUAAAGGGGUGGGCACUGAUCUUGAGAAAACUGCAACAAUGGUGGCUUGGCCUGUUCCAACUUCUCUUAUUGCUUUGAGGGGUUUCUUGGACUGACUGGUUAUUAUAGGAAGUUUAUGAAGAAUUAUAGUAUUUUUGUUCGACCCUUGACAACCUUGUUGAAGAAAAAAGCUUUUGUUUGGACUGAUGCAGCACAGCUGGCUUUUGACCAACUGAAACAAGCUAUGACCACUACCCCUGUGUUGGCAUUACCAGAUUUUAGUCGUCCCUUUGUGCUUGAGACUGAUGCUUGCUUAUGGCAUUGGGGCUGUUUUGAGUCAGCAUGGUCAUCCUGUGGCUUAUUACAACAAGACUUUAGGCCCAACGAAUCAGAAACUCUCUAUUUAUGAAAAAUAAUUUUGGCCAUUAUGAUGGCUGUUGAUAAUUGGAGAUGUUAUUUGCAGCAUUGUCCAUUUACAAUUCGCCACGCUCACGCCGCCGCCGCCCUAACUUUCCCCACCACCAUGGCAGCCACCGCGCACGCCGACUCUCUCUCCUUCCUCCUCUCCCACCCCCACUCCACUUCCCCCUCCGCGCUGCCUGCCCCGCCGCACAUCGCAUUCGCUGCGCCACCGACAAUGCCGCCAUCAAGCACCGUCGCGCGGCCGAUGAGAACAUCUGCAAGGAGGCUACACGGCAUCGUGCCCUUCUCUGCAUGGUACGCGCCGUUCCCUCUAGCUCCCAAUGGCGACCCCAACAACCCCUAUGCCAUGCGCUGCUCUUCCGUCCCAUCGCUGACGUCUGGUGCGCAUCCACGAGGGACACCUCCGCCGCACUCUCGGCGUACUGAGUCGCCGCGGGAAUCCCGGUCAUUGUGUUUCUCCCUGCUGGCGGCGAGGCGGCGGCGGAGCUCGGCUGGGCUCGUUGGCUGCCUCUUCCCUCUCUAUCGCCACCGGCCCUAGAAUAACUGAAGAGAAGAGAAGAGAAGGGAAGAGAAGAGGAUAAGAAAGAGGAGAGAAGAAUUGACAAUAAAGAAAAUAUGAGGGUCCCACUUUUUUUUUUCACUUACAUGUGGGUGCCAUAAUUUUUUUAUUUUUUAUUUUGCUGACUAGGAUACUAUGUCAGCAAAACUAGAGAUUCAUAUUAGUGUAGGACUGAAAGUGCACGGUUUUAUAUAGUUUAGGGUGAAGAUUUUUGUAUUAGAGAUUAGGGAUGUUAUACAAACUCGACGUAAAUUUUGUGGGUCGGCUGGUGAAUUUAUUCUUUUUUCGUGAACGUGAUUAAAAGAAACAGCGGCACUGCAGCUUUAUCAUCUAGGCCCAUGAAGAUUUUGUCCCAUGUCCAAUUAUUCGUAAGCCCAUAAAACACCAUGAACCUUCUAGAAGUUGAAACUAUCUGUAAAAUCGAUUUCAGGGACCAAACUCUAGCUUCCUAUUGGGCCAGGUGGAUCUCUUUAAAUUUGGCAAUGCCCCCUCCAGGAAUCUGCCACGUGUCCAUUUAGAGGAAACAGCCUAGACGUUUCACCGUGAAAUGAAAAAAAGAACAGAAAGAAAAGGUGCAUUGGCGUGUACAGCCCAGUCACCCAUGCCUGCCCUGGGACCUGGUGAUCUGGCGCCGUUGCUACAACACAAGAAAUUGCCUUCUCAAGCUAAUGGGCACACAGAACCAAGCAUAAAUAGGAUAAACAAAAGUAAAGAAAUAACAAAGAGAAAAAUAUAAAUAAUUUUGCAAAAUUUAUCUGAAAAAAUAAAAUACAUUAUGGUUAAAACCGAAAAUUGAGUCAUAUUGAUAUCCUAUAUUUCUACAAAAUAAAUAAUAAAAAAACUAAAUAAUAGAAAUAUGGUGAAAGAUUGAAUGAAAAUUUGCAAUACUAAGAAAUAAUAUUCUUCGAAUGUGCAUUUUAUUAUGGAUACCGUAUGCACAAUUUUUUGGUUAAUAAAAUUGCCACAAUUUUGAGGAAACAUUAAGUUUUUUUCUAAUAGCAUCUCUAAUCAUUUGUCUAAUUAGUUGCAUACACUAAUUACAUGAUACUUUGGUUUUCCUCAUUUAUCUGGGACAAACAUUAAAUUAAAUUCCAUUCGUCUGGGACAAACACAAAAUUAAAUUCCAUUCUUUUGAAAGAUUUUUUUAAGGGUGUUAAACUAACUCGUGUAAACAUAUAUUACUUCAUCAGUUCCAACUUACUGGUCAUUCCCACAUUUCAAUUUUUAGAUCAUGAUCCCCUAUCUCCACCUUUCAUCAAUGCCACAUAUAUCCAGUAAUCAAAGUUAACAUAACUACUAUUAGAAUGUACUAAAUGAGCAUGAUAAGGUAAUUUGCCGCAUCCCCUCAUCUGACACGAAAUUUGGUAGAGUGAUAAAUAAUCUAAAAUAAGAGGUACGUAAAUUUUAUAUAUUCCAUAUGAGCUCUAAAUAAGAUUAUACAUAUAUCGGCGCGUCAAAUGCAGAUUUUCUAGUUUUUUACUACUAGAAGAAUAUCUGCGCGUUGCAACGGGUGAAAGUUAUAAGCUGUGGUUAGGAGCUUGAUCAUCUCAAAUUAGCAUGCGAGUUUUUUUAAAGAGAUUCAUUAUACGGCUUCUUCUGUAUUUCAAAAAAGAAUGAAUUUAAAAACCGACUCAAAUACAGACAUGUAUUUUCAAAAGCAAACGAAUUUAAAAACUGCGGAUGGCGUACCAAAGUACCAACGAAAACAUUUUUCAUACACAGAUGAUGUAGCAAAGUACCGACAAAAAUAUCUUUAAUUUUUAUAAUAUUAGAGAAGAGAUUUGAUAGGUUGGUCAAUCAAGUUGUAGUUACUUUGAAAUUUACUAAAAAUAUAAAUGAACCCACGAUUAGGACCUAGCCGUGAAGCAAAGCGGGGGACCGUUGGCACACCUUUCCGUCCUCCGCUUUCCAUCUCCACCUCCACCGCACUACCAGUACCACCACGUACGUCCACCACCACCUCCACCUCCGCCGUGCGGACGCCGCCGGCUUCCCAAUCCCAGCCGCGACGCGGAGGAGGACCAAAUUCCUCCCCCACCCCUCCGUCAAAUCUGCGCGCACCACCUCCGAGGUAAGCCUCUGCGCUCCCCUGCUCCGGCCUCGGGUUCUCCCUCCACAGCCAGCCGAGCGGGCAAGGCGCCGCCUUAGGCCGCUAUUAAUUUGUUACUGAUUCUUCGCUAAUCGCUACGAUGCCCUGCUUGCUUUCUCAUUUUGUGGUCUCGUGUGUCUAGACUCUAGAAUAGGUAGCGCGGCGUCAGCAGGUUUGGGGGUUCGGUUUGCGGCUGCGGAGUUUUCUGCCUUUCAGGCAAAGCCAUGGUUAUAACCAGGGUUCAAAUUUUCGGUUUGGCCGAUUCUAUCGGAGGUCACCGAAAUUUCCAAAAUUUUGAACAAAUGUUGGUUAAAUUUGAACAAAAUAUUACCAAAUUCAUAAAAAAUUUAGAAAUUUCGGUCAAAAUAUUUUCGUAUCGUAUCGGGAGGGUCCGAAUUGACCGAAAUUCCGGAAUUUUGAACCCUGGUUAUAACUGGGUGGGUUAAUCUUCAGGGAGGCUUGAUUUAGAAUUUCUUUAGUUUACAAAGAAUAAAGGCUUGUCAAAUGUUUUGUGUCAAAACUUAUAGUAACAAGUUUAGGACAUGAAACAUGGAGAGAGUUUGAUGAUUUCUAAAGAGCAAUGGUAAUUCGGUGGUUCUACACUAGUGUGGUGGAUGUGAUCCAAGCUGUCAAUAAUGAGGCCACACUUUGGUAGUUUGGUCUUUGGCGGGAGCUUUGAAACUCCAAAAGCUGUUGUCUAAGUAGUUCUUGCGUCCUAGAGAGGUCGGCUUGAGUUUCUUCAGUUUUUGAGUGGGUGUGUGUUGUGUUCUGUAAGACUUUCGGUGGGUGGGUGUCAGGGUUUGUUUAAAUCUUGCAUCCCUUGCAUUUCUUUCUCUCUCUUAAUGAAAUGAUAUGCAUAUCUCUUGCGUGUUCGAAAAAAAAAAAUCAGUGCUUCUACUUUCAUCACAUGAUGGUUUUGGACAUUUUGGCCUCUGAGAGACCCUGGCAUGGAUUGACUUGUUGGAACGAUUGCUACUGCUCAUUUCCUUGUCUUUUGCAGCAUAUAAACAUGAAUGCAAUAAUUUCUCUCCAAUUUUUCCAAAAUAGAAAUCUAGCUUCGGUUCAAGAUCAGCAAGAAGUCUGACAUAUAAAUGUAUGGAAAUGACAGCACCAGUAUCUGAUUAAAUUUUUGAGUAAAUAAUGAAGACUGCUGGUAAAAAUAUCGUAGUUGAAGUAAGAGAGAAGAGAGAAGAGAGAAAAAAAGUUUGGGUCUCUAGGGACCUGAUCAAUGAAUAUUAAAGUCCUGGGAUCCAUUAAAGUUUUGAGUAAAUAUUGAAAACAACUACUGAAAACUCGAUGUAAUAAUUAUUCUGUAUUUUUUUAACCAUGUAUGCAGAUUUGAGGACUGGAGAUCCAAGCAGUCUGUUAUGUCACUGCGGAGGCAUAAUGCUUUAAGUUCACUUAAGGAAAGAACUGCUGGAAUUUUUGCAUUCCUAGGAAACCUUGUGCAUUCUGAAACCUUAGAGAGAUCGGUGCUGCAUGAAAUGAAGUUGACAACUGGAACUCUUCAUCCUCAGGGACCAUUUCUGCAAAGCUGGAACAAGAUAUUUGUUUUGUCAUGUAUCUUUGCAGUUUCUGUGGAUCCAUUGUUCUUCUAUAUCCCGGUUAUCAAUGAAAACAAUACAUGCUGGUAUUUGGAUAAAAAGUUGGAAAUCACAGCAAGUGUCCUGCGCUUUUUCACAGAUAUCUUCUAUAUACUCCAUAUCAUAUUUCAGUUCAGGACAGGCUAUAUCGCGUCUUCUCCUACAACUUUUGAUCGGGGUGUCUUGGUUGAGGAUAGAUAUGCAAUAGCAAAGCGAUACUUGUCAACAUAUUUUCUGAUUGAUGUCUUUGCUGUUCUACCCCUCCCUCAGGUACUCGGCAUGGCAUGUACUUAGUUAAGCUUAGUAUGGAGCUAUUUUAUAGUAUAGUUCACAUGAUCCUUUAGAAUUAUGAUGGAGUGGAUGCACCUUUGAUAGUCUCUACAUGAUAAAAAUAAUAGAUAUUCACCUCUUUUAUGAUUUAUAAUGAUAUAAUGGAAUUCACAUGUUGGAAUUAUGGGUUGAUUAGUGAGGAUGCACUUUUGGUAGAUACCACAUUAUGAAAAUAAAAGAUUUUGGUUUUGGCCUGUUUCAAGAGUGACACUGAUACAUGCAAUCCAUAUGUUAGAAAAAUGGGGUCAUAUACAAAGAGCUUUGUCUGUUUCUUCUAUGAAUUUGCAGUCUUAAUAGUGCACUAAGUUAUGCGCCUUUGAUUUCUCAGUCAAGCUUGUAAGCAUGGUCAAUUUUGUUACCAGGUGGUUAUUUUGGUUGUGCUACCUAAUCUUCGAAGCUCAGAGGUUGCAAAAGCCAAAAAUAUCUUGAUGUUUAUAGUUCUAUGCCAAUAUGUGCCUCGACUGAUCAGAAUAAGACCACUGUAUCUCCAAAUCACAAGGUCUGCUGGGGUAAUUACAGAGACACCAUGGCCUGGUGCUGUUUUGAUCCUUUUAAUUUACUUGCUCGCCAGUCAUGUAAGUAUUCUAUUCAAUAACUCUGGAUAGUCAACAAUGCCAAAUAAAUUGUCCUUUGCCAGAGCAAUAUUUAACUGCAAUAGUGAAAAGCUGAAAACAUGAUCAAUUUCCUGUAAAGAUUAAAUGAAUUUAUUAUUGAUCAAAAUAAAUUCGGCUAACUUGGUUUGAGGUGUGGUAUGGGCGUAGUCUCAUCUUUUUCUUUUUUGGCCAAACCAGAGCCAUAAACACCUCGUCUUGUGGUUUUCAUCAGCAAAGUUGUCUAAAUUUGUAUACAGAAAGCAAUGGUGUAACCUUUAAAAGUUUUUUUUUUUUACUUAAAGUUACAGAAAUCUUAGAAGGAAAAUGAUUUUGUCCAACAUUUUCUCUGCGAAAGAAACAGAAUUUUAGUUUGUCCAAUCUGAAAUACACUCUAAUAGUAACAAUAUAAAUUAUUACUUUAUAUCAGCUAUCAUGUAACAAAUAUUUUCAAUGAAGUUUGAUGCUUAGUGCUUAGUAGUUCAUCCUUUUUCUUGUGGGUCAAUUCUCAAGAGAUAUUCUAUCACAUAUACACCAAUUUCAGUGUCAUCAAUGCAUAUUUGCAACAAUCUUGUCCACUUUUUCUAUGAUUAUAUAUUUCCAUGCUUUAUUGGCUCUAUCUGUUUCCUAAUGGGUGUCAUUUAUGAAGUCAUAACAGUCAAGAUUUACAAAAUAAAAGUCUUUAUAUUGGUAAGAAAAUAAUAUGUAUGGAUUUUGUUUUCUGUAAAAAAAAUGGCUAUAAUAUCCUUAUAGGUGACAACACUUUGGUCUCUCAAGUUUUGCUUGAGGCUCCUGUUGGGCUCUGAUGUAUCAUCCAGAUGUGUGUGUCCUCAAAUUUUCCUCAUUAAAAAUUAAAAUUGGAUCCACCGAGAGCAGCGCCUGUACAGGACUUGUCGGUGUUGACUCUUGACCUCUUGACUUGGCCAACUUGUUUGAUAUGCGUGUCCUUGUGGUGCUCCAACUGGUUUUAAGGAGUAAAGACAAUCUUGACCCAUAGUCGGAAAACUUUGAGGACUGGGUGGAUAAAUUGGAAUGUCACGGACAAUCACAACCAAGGAAUGGCCUAUGGAAACUUGACUUCAUACUACUAAAUUGGCAAAUAAUUAAAAUGUUAGUGGCCCCAGCAACCAUCUAGUUGACUUCAUUCAUAAGUGGGAUACUUUUGCAACUGCAGUGCCACUAAAUUGGAUAUAAUUAAAUAUUUCUGUGCACCUUAUAUAUUUAUGAAAAAUCUUUUAACUGCUGCAGGUCCUUGGAGCACUCUGGUACUUGCUUUCCAUUGAACGCAAAGAUGCCUGCUGGAGAGACGUGUGUCGUAAUAAUAGUACAGGCUGUAAUCAGGCAUACUUGUACUGUGGGGAUAAGGAAAACAUAUUCUUACAGACUGCUUGCCUUCCAAUCAACUCAAACAAUAUAGAUCCGAACUUUGGAAUUUAUGUGCCGGCUCUAAAUAAUGUCUCACAAUCAACUGAUUUUUUGGCAAAACUAUUCUAUUGUGUUUGUUGGGGUCUGCAAAAUCUUAGGUCCGUGCAAAACUGAAACAUUUAAAAUAUUUUCUGCUUGAGCUAAUAAACUUCUGUAUGCCACAUAUAUUUAUGUGUUGGUCUAUUUAAUGCAGCUCUCGGGGCCAAAACCUUAAGACAAGCACUUACGCAUGGGAGAAUCUGUUUGCACUUUUUGUCUCAAUAUCAGGCUUGGUUCUGUUUGCACUGCUAAUUGCUAAUGUGCAGGUAAACAUAUUUAGCAUCAUUGGCUAUGAAUUUUACAAGUCAUUUUCUUGAUUUACGUUAUUAUUCAAGCUUUUCAUAAUAGAACUUGCAUAGCAAAUCAGAAAUAUGCUAAAAUUUUAAGUGUGUUAUGAGUCUAAUGCCUACAUAAUCAAUUGAAGAGAACAUGAAUGCUAUCUACUGCUGCUAAAGAUAUAUCCUAGAAUAACAGAGAAUAUUUUUAUGAGUGAAUUAUGGAAAACUGAACUAUAGUUAAUCAAAUUAAUUAUGAGAAAAAUGAGUCCAACUUAUUUUAUCUCCUAGGGAUAUGAAACUAAAGAUAUGGAACCUUGUGCCAGAUUCAGUCCAAUACCAUUUUGAGAUACGACUAGCAUAAUCUUGGUAGGAAUAAGAUCAUCAAACCUUAUUUGCAACACUUGUCUUUGUACAAAAUGGUUCAGGUCUUCUACUACAAAGAAUGUUUAACAGGAUCCCUGACAUUGAUUGAAAUUAUGUGUUUUUGCUGAAUGAUGAUAAAUGCGUAAUUUUGGUAGCUAACUCAUGCUUCCAUUUUUUGUGAGUUUUACAGACCUAUUUGAAGUCAGCCCAUUUGAGAGAAGAAGAAAUGAGAGUGAAAAGCCGUGAUACAGAUCAAUGGAUGUCAUAUCGACUGCUUCCUGAGAAUCUCAAGGAACGAAUACGGCGUCAUGAAAAAUAUAGAUGGCACCAGACGAGCGGGGUUGACGAAGAACUCUUGCUUAUGAACCUCCCCAAGGAUCUUAGAAGGGCUAUAAAACGGCAUCUUUGCUUAUCACUUCUUAUGAGGGUAUGUUCUCACAUGCUUCUUUUGCAGAGUAACCUGCUGUACUAAUCUUAUUUUUGUGGCUUAUCCAAUUUCAGAAAAUAAGUUGGUUAAGUAAAUAAUUUGGCCAUUUUCACGUAGCUCAGCCAAACCCAGUUACAGUAGCGGACCCAAGAAAUACGAACUGAGAUUUGGCUGAGCACCACUUGUUUUCUAUUUAUUGUAGCAUAAUAUUUUCAGUCCGUGCAGCUCAUCAUGCUAUAUUGUUUAAAACCGGAAUUGCAUUUUCCUCACAAUUGUUGAUAACAUCAAAGUAUCCUGGUUGUUCAAGAAUGACAAAUACCAUGUUCCAAAAGGCACAUAAAUGAAAGCUAAAGGCUUCUUUUACCGCUUAUGUGUUGCAAGGUCUCAUUUUUUUUUCUCUCUGAGCCUAAGCCAAUUACCUCUUUUUUUAGAUAAUGGAAUAAAACAUCCCGGCGUUUGCUCAUCAGAGUUACAGCCAAUUAUUACAAAAGUAACACCCAAACACUGAGUGUAGAGUAACACUCAAACACUGAGUGUAGUUCAAAUGAAUAUGUACAAUAGAAGCACACAAUUCAUGCCAAUAUGCAAUAUUCUCACCAACUAAUGAUCUCCUAAAGGAAACAUUGAGUAUAAUAGAUCUCAUAACAUUAGCAAUAGUAGAACUUUUCCUUCGGACAAUAGAGUAUAAAGAUGGAUAUUUGUCUUUAAAAGCCAGGUUUCCUUGCCAUUUAUCUUCCCAGAACCUUAUUUGUUUUCCAUUAUUUACAAUCUAAGAACCCAUAUCUAAGAAGUUAUCUUUGACCUUCAUGAGACCUGACCAAAAAUGAGAAUCGUCCUGUUUCUUAUUAACUUGGCUUAUAGACUGAUUGUAGAGAUACUUUCUCUUCAAUAGAUUUUGCCAUACACCUUCCUCGUUAAUCAACUUAAGCAACCACUUACUCAAGAGACACUUGUUUUGUAUUUCCAAGUUAUGAACCCCUAAACCUUCCUGAUCCUUAGGUUGACAAAUGAUAUCCCAUCUAGUAAGUCUGUACUUUUUUUUAUGGUCAUCCCCUUGCCAAAAGAACCGUGAUCUAUAAUAAUCAAUUUUUUGAAGAACCCCUUUCGGUAUCUCAAAAAAAAAUAUCAUAAACAUAGUUAAACUUGAAAGUACAGAGUUAAUCAAAACCAGUCUACCCCCAACAGAUAAAUGUUUUCCUUUCCAACUACUAAGUUUUUUUUUCUCAAUUCUUUGCUCAAUCAUUUUCCAAUCUCUAUUAUUCAGUUUUCUAAAAUGCAUUGGUACACCAAGAUAUUUAACUGGGAGAGAGCCAAACUUACAACCAAAGAUGUUAGAAUACUCAUCAUAAUAUUCCUUUGCCUGACCAAAACAAAAUAAUUCACUCUUAUGAAAAUUUAUUUUUAAGCCAGACAACUUUUCAAACACAGAUAAAAUCAAUUUAAGAUUCUUCGCUUGUUGUAAGUCAUGUUCCAAAAAAAUGAUAGUAUCAUCUGCAUACUGUAAAAUAGAUAAACCAUCAUCCACUAGGUGAGGGACUACCCCAUUCAAUGAACCAACAUCUUUAGCCCUCUUAAUUAAUAAAGUAAGCAUAUAUGCUACUAUAUUAAAAAUAAUUGGAGAUAAAGGAUCUCCUUGCCUUAGACCUUUGUAAGUUUGAAAAUUAUUACCGGUCUAAUUAUUUACCCUAAUACCAACAUGUCCCCCUUGAAUAAAAGAAGAUAUCCACUCACACCAUUUAGGAGAGAAACCUUUCAUUCUGAGCGUCUAUUUUACAAAAGACCAUUUAACCUUGUCAUAGGCUUUUUCAAAAUCGAUCUUAAAAAUCACAACACUUUUAUUUUUGCGAUGUAAUUCGUGCAUAGUUUCAUGCAAAAUAACAACACCUUCCAUAAUAUUUCUCCCAGGUAUAAAAGCAGUUUGAGUAGGGAUAAUCACCUUUUGAGCAACACUCAUUAUUCUAUUCGUAGCAACUUUGGUAAAGAUCUUAAAACUAACAUUAAGUAAGCAGAUAGGCCUAUAUUGUUAAAUGGUGAGAAACCUUUCAUUCUGAGCGUCUAUUUUACAAAAGACCAUUUAACCUUGUCAUAGGCUUUUUCAAAAUCGAUCUUAAAAAUCACAACACUUUUAUUUUUGCGAUGUAAUUCGUGCAUAGUUUCAUGCAAAAUAACAACACCUUCCAUAAUAUUUCUCCCAGGUAUAAAAGCAGUUUGAGUAGGGAUAAUCACCUUUUGAGCAUCACUCAUUAUUCUAUUCGUAGCAACUUUGGUAAAGAUCUUAAACUAACAUUAAGUAAGCAGAUAGGCCUAUAUUGUUGAAUUUUCAUGGCCUCAGCACACUUAGGCAAAAGAAUAAUAUAGUACCAAAGUUAAGGGAGAAUAAAGGCAAAGUACCAUUAUGAAAAUCUCUGAAAAUAUCCAAUAUAUCAUCCUUAAUGACAUCCCAAAAGACCUGAUAAAACUCAGCAGAAAAUCCAUCAGGACCCGGAGCUUUAUUAUGUUCCAUUUGAAAAAUAGCCUCUUUAAUUUCCUUUCCAGUGAAUUCUUGUAUUAAAGCUUCAUUCUCCAAUUGAGAUACUUGUGGGAUGUCCACAAAAUUAUUUUCAUCAAACUAGAGAUCAGAAUCAUCAGGAGGACCAAAGAGGCCUUUAUAAUAAGUGGUAAUAUGCGAUUUUAGAUUUGCAUCACCAUUUAUCAAUUGAUCCCCAUCUUGAAGUUGAAAAAUUCUGGUUUUUCUAUGUUUGCCGUUAGCAACCAAAUGAAAAUACUUUGUAUUUGAAUCACCCUCUAAAAUAUCCUUAGUUUUAGCCCUUUGAUACCACUUAAUUUCUUCUUCUCUCAGAAGAGUAAGCCAAUUACCUCUAAAAUGGUGAAGUAGGUCUUCCAAUAGUCGUGUGCUUUAGGUGCACACCAGUAAUAUAGCUUGAAAUGUUCAGUGCAUGAAAUGUGUUUGAGGUACUUAUGUAGAAACUGGAAAAUUAAGUCAUGUAAAACCGUUGAUGUACUAGUAAUGGGUCAUCUUUUCACAUUUUAAGGUUCUGGGUUCAGACAUUAUGUUCAGAAAGCAUUACCAAACUGGGAAGCGGUGGGAAGGGUGAAAAGGACGACGGCCAUUGGGGUUUACAUGGUGAAUCGGAAAUCAGCUCCAUCAUCCAACUUCUGUAGUUUCUAUGCAUCUGAAAUGCUCUUCAUUUACGCUUAUAGGCAUCUUUUUUCACAGCAUUGGAUUUAGUAGCAGCAUAGCAAGUCACCAGUUUGGCUGUGGCUUUUGAAGGUCACGUGUUUAUUUCUUUUUUUUUUUGGAUGUAUAAAAUUUUGUUGGAGCUAUAACGGCAAAAUCUUACUGGAAUUAGUAAAUAACUCCUCUAACUAACUAGGAGUAAAUUAAACAGGACAACAAUGCCAAACGAAGCCAUAAUCUAGGGAGGUUCUUUGGGGACAUGUUCCAGGGAAACCUUGAAUCUGUUGCAGCAGUAACCGUUGUGUUAAUAUCUUAUUUGUGUGAAUGUAGAUCAUUUAUCUCCCUGCUAUGUAUUUUACAAUUCUGUUUUCUUUGCUUCAGGUUCCAAUGUUUGAAAACAUGGAUGAUCCGCUCUUGGAUGCCUUGUGCGACCACCUAAAGCCUGUUCUAUAUACAGAAGGCAGCUGCAUAAUUCGUGAAGAGGAUCCAGUAUAUGAAAUGCUCUUCAUCAUGAGAGGUAAUCUCAUGAGUAUGACAACUGAUGGUGGAAUAACCGGCUUCUUCAAAUCUGAUGUUUUGAAAGGUGGAGAUUUCUGUGGCGAAGAGCUCCUGACCUGGGCUCUUGACCCCACAUCAGUUUCCAGGCUCCCUAGCUCAACCAGGACAGUGGAGACAAUGUCCGAAGUCGAAGCUUUUGCCCUGACGGCUGAAGACUUGAAGUUUGUGGCCACCCAGUUCCGACGGCUCUACCGCAAACAGCUCCGGCACACGUUUAGGGCCCCUUUGAAUUGUAGUAGCGAAAUAGUGGAGGAACAGGAAAACACAUUAUUCUGACAGAAAUGUAAGUGUAAAACAGAUGAUUGCAAAACACAUGAAUAAUUGUUUGAUUGGGCCACAGAGAAAACAUAGGAAUCGGAUGACUUUUCCUGGACCUCUUGCUAAAUUUCCUUUAAAACCUAUAUGUAAUGAGCUAUUCCAUUGAAAUUGUAUAGGAUUUAGAAAAUUCCAAUCCUUUGAAUCAAAGGGCCAAAUAGGAAAAUUUUCUAUAGGAUUUCAAUCUUAUGAAAUCCCUUCAUAAAUCCUUUGAUUCAAAGGGGGCUUUUAAGGCUUAUUCAGUUUGGAGGAAUUUGAAUCCAUAGGAAUAGGAAAAGUGGAGGAAUAACAAUGUUAACAUACAUUAAUCCAUAGGAAUUUUUUCAAGAGGUUUGAGCGGAUGGAAAAAUUCAUGUUUCCUCUGUAUAAUUUGUAGGAGAGGAAAUUUUCCUUUGGUUUUCCUAUACUUCAAUCCUACAAACUGAAUGACACUCAUAGUAAUUAAUCAUUAGAAAUCGAAAUCCUCUGUUUUUCCUCCAAAACGGACGAGCCCUUAAGUUCUACUCGCAGCCUGUUUCAUACAAGCAGCCUGGCAUAGGUACUGCAGAAAGAAGAUCGAAGACUCUCUACGCGAGAAGGAGAAGAGGUUGCAGUUCGCAAUCGUUAAUGACGGUGCUACAACUCUCAGCUUCAGGGCAGCAAUAUAUGCUUCGCGUUUCACUGGCAACAUGAUGCGGAUCUUGAGGAGAAAUGCCACCCGCAAGGCCUGGCUGCAGGAAAGUGUGCCUGCAAGGUUGUUACAAAAACCAGCAGAACCCAACUUUGCUGCAGAAGAGCACUAGUUCUGUUUACCACGAAUGCGUAAGGAAAUUUUUGUGCAUGGCUUGUGCACUUUUUACUUGCUGAUAUUUUUGCUUUCGGUUGACACUGACCUACAAAUUGAGGAGAGGAAAAAAAUCGCAAUAGGUAUCUCUCUGUAACACUGUAUAUGUGUUGGUGUAUGAUAAUAGGUCCAAUAAUACUUUAGGGACAUCUGUAGUUAUAUUAGUAUUCUGUUAAACAUGUAGCAGUUCAGUACAAGAAUUAUUCUGAAUAUAUGGAAUAAUAAACAGAGUAGGCAUAUUUACUUAUAACAGGGUAUAUUUACUUAUAACUCAAGGGUCACCAUAUCAGGUAAUCUAGAAGAGCAUAAUAUCAGAAUCUGAACCUUAGUAGUUGAUCAGCAUAACAUUGCUAAGACCAAUACCAUAAAACACCAUUAUUUACCUGUGAUUUCUGUAAUCAGUAUACUUUGACAUCAAGAUCAAGAUUUAUAAUUUUUAGGACAUUAAAUCCCUUAAGUGAUACUGUCAUGAUGCAUCAUGUAUGAAUGAAAUCAUAUUAAUCCUCUGGAUUACUAUUCAGCAUGGCAACAUAAGGAUCUGAUCAUGUUAGUUUAUUAGUAUGUAGCAAAUUUCAAUAUCUCUGAUGGUCAUUGCAUAAGCAUAAUUAAGGAUUUAAUCAUGCUAGUGUGAUUUCUAUUUUAGUAAUGCAAUUCAUAGGUUUAUUCAUGUGAGCAUUCAUUCAUCAUGGGCAUACUGGCAUCAUCCAAUCUAGCAAAUCAAUUGAUCUAGAACCCUAGAACUAGUAAUUACAAUCCAUAGCAUAGAGUCAUUAAGUUGACCAUUAGGAUUAACCUAAUGGUACACCACAAUCAUAUAUCAGUAGCACAAAAGGGAAUAACAUCUUACCAAUAUAAAACACUAGAAAUCAGGAGAGGGGGGGGGGGGGGGGAGUACAGACCGGAGAGCACACUCAUGGAGAUAGGUCGGGGCCGCCGGAGUUGCGCGGUGCUUGGCACCGGCCAUCUCCACGGCAGCCAUGGCAAUUGGAGAGGCAGGGCAACGGGUAGGGUUAGAGUUGGGAUGAGAGAGAAAAAGAGGGAGGAUAAGGGGAAAAGAAGAAGGAAGGAAGGAGAGAGGAGGCGGCGGCGGCACCCCGCCGGGCAGCCAGGCAGAGGCGGCGGCGACGCCCCCUACAAUUGGGGCGCAGCGCCGCAGCCCUUGUGCGCCACAGCGCCAUGGAGAGAAGAGAGCGAGAAAGAGAAAGGGAAAAACGAGAUGAAGAGGAGAACGAGAAUAAGAGAGAAGAGGAGGAAGGUGGGCU